rnacentral:misc_RNA from 1 species
CCUUAAACUUUGAUAACUUACAAUUCUCUCCGCCAGGGAACUACGAGCGCUAGCUUAAAACCCAAAAGACUUGGCGGUGCCCUACACCCACCUAGAGGAGCCUGUUCUAUAAUCGAUACCCCCCGCUUUACCUCACCAAUUUUUGCCAAAUCCGCCUGUAUACCGCCGUCGCCAACUUACCCUUUGAAGGUCAAAAAGUAAGUAUAAUGGUCUCUCACCAGAACGUCAGGUCAAGGUGCAGCGAAUGAAUUGGAUAGAAAUGGGCUACAUUUUCUACUUUAGAAAAUACGGAAAAUCACUAUGAAACCUGAUUAGAAGGCGGAUUUAGCAGUAAAAAGAAACCAGAACGUUCUUUUUAAUCUGGCCCUAGGGCGCGCACACACCGCCCGUCGCCCUCCUCGAUUUAAAUCUCAAUUAAAUAAAACCCUAAACAUAACCCUAGAGGAGGUAAGUCGUAACAUGGUAAGUAUACCGGAAGGUGUGCUUGGAAUCAAAAUGUAGCUUAACCUAAAGCUUUUCGCUUACACCGAAACAAUGUCUGUGAAAACCAGAUCAUUUUGACGCCACCUUUCUAGCCCAACCCAAUACCUUAUAAACCCCCUCACAACCCUAAUAAACUUAAUAAAUCAUUCUAAAUCCCAAGUAUAGGCGAUAGAAACGGAACCCGGAGCAAUAUAAAUAGUACCGCAAGGGAAAGAUGAAAUAGAAAUGAAACAAAUAAUUUAAGCACAAAAAAGCAAAGACUAAAUCUUG